rnacentral:rRNA from 1 species
UCAGGCCUAACACAUGCAAGUCGAGCGGCAGCGGGAAGGUAGCUUGCUACUUUUGCCGGCGAGAAAAGGACGGGUGAGUAAUACCUGGGAAAUUGCCCAGUCGAGGGGGAUAACAGUUGGAAACGACUGCUAAUACCGCAUACGCCCUACGGGGGAAAGCAGGGGACCUUCGGGCCUUGCGCGAUUGGAUAUGCCCAGGUGGGAUUAGCUAGUUGGUGAGGUAAUGGCUCACCAAGGCGACGAUCCCUAGCUGGUCUGAGAGGAUGAUCAGCCACACUGGAACUGAGACACGGUCCAGACUCCUACGGGAGGCAGCAGUGGGGAAUAUUGCACAAUGGGGGAAACCCUGAUGCUUCAAAGGGGCGUGUGUGAAGAAGGCCUUCGGGUG